AUGGCAGAAGUUUCCCUGAGAGAACCAAGUGCUGCUCAAGAAAAGACUUUUGUCAGUGUGUUUCAUGAGCUUUGUACAAAAUUUGACUUUGGAGUAGCCAUGUAUAACUUGGUGGCUGAGCAAGGCGAACCCCACAGUCGAACUUUCUUGAUGAAUUUGACUGUAGACAUGUUGGGUAUUUCAGUUGAAGGCAUUGGCUUAACCAAGAUGCAAGCAAAGCAUGAUGCUGCCUAUAAAAUGAUGCUUCAAAUCAGGGAGACUUAUCGAGCCGAUGGAACUCUCAACAAUGUCCCCAGAGUAAAACUCGUGAACUGCUGUGAAUGGCUGGAAAAAUGUGGAACACUAAAGGAAGACAUACCCAAACCACCAACAGAACCAACUCUAAAUCCAUCUGGGGUUCUCACAGAAUGGUGUUUGACCAGACACAGCAGUCUUCCUGAUUACAGGGUUGUUCGAACUUCAGGUCCUUCUCACUCCAAAACAUAUUUUAUGACUUGCAAGCUUGGGGAUCGUAUCACUGAAGGUGAGGGAAAGUCAAAGAAGGCUGCCAAAAAUGUCGCUGCCGGAAAAAUGCUCCAGAUACUUUAAGACGAAGAGUUGUAAUAGCUAUUCCGAGAAACGUGAUUUCAUAAGUGCACGCUGGAUAUGGAAAACGAUAUGAACUUGUAAAAAUUUGUCCCGUUCAGUUCUUGCAGGGCCUACACAUUUUCGCUGUAGUAGAGAUUUCGAUUUCUACGUAUGUACUUUCUGUUUUCCCGCAAAGAAGCUUUCGCUUUCGAAUUCAACAGUUAUUAUUGACUACCAUACUGGCCAAGAACAAAGAUCAAGAAACCUGCGGCAAUUAUUUGUAACAUACCUUUCUACUCGCCACCGCCUUAUUGUACAGGUUAGUCUACCCACAUAGGCCUCGUGCUGUUUUUCUCAAUGAGGAAUACCUUGGUACCUCCUCUUUUCAGUGCCUGGAGCUCUCUGUAAGGCUUUCACGCUGUCUAGAAAAAUUCGUAUAAAAUGGGUUCCUCCAAGCGCGAAUGCAAGUCAGUGCGCUCACCAUUGCCAUGCUGUUCUCAUGGCUAGUUUCAGUUUUGUUGGCAAUCCUUCACGCUGUAGCGUGGUGUGGCCUCUUGGCGUUUAUUUGUCUCGUCUUUUGGUCCAACAAUAACCGAGCGUUCGCCCGUUUAGUCUUUCUCGUGUCUCCGUUAAAUGCAGUGAUGCGUCUCUAAAUUUUGCUUGAAGGACGACAAGAGUUAUACUGGAUUACUGGUCUGCAUUUAAUGUAUACGAUGUUAUAUAAUACUCGUUUACUACUUACGACGGCAAAACAUUUUGCUUACUCGUUUCUCAUCAUCAAUUAUUGUAAAUUCCUAUUGUGCUUCCACUAUCGCCGGUGUUAAUCCUACGCUACUGCUCGAAUUCGCCAGUAGCCUUUCACUGCUUGUUAUCUUCUUGUGUCUCUAAAUACAGACAAGAGUUGACCUCUCA